CUGACAGCUAUUUGACAUGAAAUCAGUUGACAUUUUCAUUUUUGAAAGUUUGCAUGGUAUCUGUUCGCAAUUAUUGCAAAAACUAUGGAAAGGAGCAGCGAUAGUGCGUUUGAAAAUGUGCCUUACGAAAAUUCAAAUGCAGCAGCUGCUGCAAAUAUAGCCUAAAAAACAAAUUCUAGAUAAGAAAACGUGUACUAACAAUUAUUGGGUUAGCCGGUGCGUGUGGACGGGAAGGACUUACAAAAAUGACAAUUGAUCUAAUAAACAACAAGGAAGACAUGUUGCUUGUGGAAAAAACAGAUUCCAAAACAAAUGUUGAGAGAACUAUUGUUGGAAUUGGGCAAAAAACCCAGCUGUUGUAUAGACAAUAUUUAUUUUUACGGUUAACCCAUACAUAACAAAUUAUUCGUGAAUUACAAAAAAAAACUGAAUCAGCCCUUUGAUCCACAGUUUCAGGAAUCGCGGAUUAAGAAUCGUAGAAUUUUUAAAUUCAUCCAAUCUUAAAAAUUACACAGGCUAUAUAGCAUUCGUCGAACUUCAACGACGUUAUUUGCUGAUAAAAGUGGAAACAUCACACAUUUGAAGAGACUCUGUGGCUGGUAGUUUACCAAUGUUGCUGAAGAAUUAAAUAUAGAUAAUUCACUUAAGAACAAAAUUAAAAUUGCCAAGAUCAUUAAAAAAUUGUCAGAUGGAAACAAUCAAUGUGAAACUAAAACUUUACCUUCUUGUUCUGACUUCAACAAAAGGCAUUUGAAACCAAUAAAUAUCAAUGGAAAAGGCC